rnacentral:rRNA from 1 species
UACGGAGGGGGCUAGCGUUGUUCGGAAUUACUGGGCGUAAAGCGCGCGCAGGCGGCUUAGCAAGUCAGGGGUGAAAGCCCGGGGCUCAACCUCGGAACUGCCUUUGAGACUGCUAGGCUCGAGACCGAGAGAGGAGAGUGGAAUUCCCAGUGUAGAGGUGAAAUUCGUAGAUAUUGGGAAGAACACCAGUGGCGAAGGCGGCUCUCUGGCUCGGUACUGACGCUGAGGCGCGAAAGCGUGGGUAGCAAACAGG